GCUCUCCAUACGGAUACUAGGGAUCAAGCUCAGAAUACAAAUUCCCAAUAGCAAACACAAUAUGGACUGAGACAUUUGCUUGUUCCAUACACUUAUGACUAAAACAACUGUAUUUCAAUGGCUUAAUUAUCUGUGAACAAUGUAAAUCUGAGGACACUCAGCCAGGACAGGUGGAAAGCUUGCUCUCCUAGAGCCUCAGCCUUCAGCAUUUGUUCCCCUCUCUGUGUGAACUUCUAACAGCUGUUCCCCAUUCCCCGCAUCCAGAGAGGAUCUGCUCACUCAUCUCUCGCCAGCAGUCAGCACCACCAUGCAGAGUCCCUCCAUCGUCACCUCUGCAGUCACCACAGCUGGACUGGAGGGCACAGAGGGCCAGAGGAAUCCUUCACAUGUGAACCUGAGAGCCACAGUGGCUGCAGCUGUGUUCAUAACACCAGUCUAUGUGUUGAUAAUCUUCCUCUGGUGGAAACAAAGGACAACAGAAUGAAGCCAAUACCCCAGUCAGGUGAACGACUGUCAUCCCAUGGCGCAGGCAAGGAGACGUUUGUUAUAAGAGGCAUGCAAGGGAGCUAAAGAGACAGUUGAGUAGAAAGCUCUUGUACAUGGGCAGGAUGACUUGAGUUUAAUUGGGAGCACACACAUUAUAAAUUUGUAGUCCCAGUUCUAGAAAAAUAAGUGACAGCCAGAGUCGUAGUGAUGUCUGUCCAGCUAGUCUAGCAUUAUUGUUGAGUUCCAGGCCAAUAAGAGACCAUGUCAUAAAAAAUAAUGUGGAUUCUUCAAGGGCAUGAAUCAUGGUCAUGGCAUUUUCUAAGUUCAUUUUAAAUAAAGCAUUUUAAAAAUACAUAUUGAUGAAUAAAAGAAAAGUGGGGAGCAAAGGGAUAGCUCUGUGGGAAAAGGGUCUGCAGCCAAGCCCAAUGACUUGAGUUCAUUUUGGGGACCCAAAUUGUGGCAGUAGAAAACUGACUACGGAAAACGGUCAUUUUCUUCUUAAGCACAGCACUAUCUGUUAGUCCCGAGCUAAGAGAACUCCAAUAGCCAGGAUCUCUCACCAGGGUGGUGAGUUUCCAUCAAAGUAGGGCUUGCUGACCACACACACUGCAUCUCACCGGCUUCCUUGUUUCCUGCCUGGGGAUCAGAGAGCAGGGCUGCAGGCCUGUGCUGUGAAACACACAUCCUUGGACAGGUACAAGGAGAGAACCCUCACAUCUGCUGUGUGAACUCUGAAUUCCUCUCCUCAGAACCCAGGUCAAUCUAUCUGUGUCUGGUCCUGAGAUCCCAACUCUGCUAUUUUCUAUCUGUCCAUGGAGUUAAUAACACUUUUUAGUAAAUGUCUUCCUCCCAA